GAUGAACGCUGGCGGCGUGCCUAAUACAUGCAAGUCGAGCGAACAGACGAGGAGCUUGCUCCUCUGACGUUAGCGGCGGACGGGUGAGUAACACGUGGAUAACCUACCUAUAAGACUGGGAUAACUUCGGGAAACCGGAGCUAAUACCGGAUAAUAUAUUGAACCGCAUGGUUCAAUAGUGAAAGACGGUUUUGCUGUCACUUAUAGAUGGAUCCGCGCCGCAUUAGCUAGUUGGUAAGGUAACGGCUUACCAAGGCAACGAUGCGUAGCCGACCUGAGAGGGGGAAGGACCCCCUGGGAGAUGAGGAACGGCCACACCUCCAAGGGGAGGCAGGAGAGGGGAAUCUGCCGGAAAGGGGGAAAGCAUGAGGGGCCAACGCCGGGUGGGUGAUGGAGUUUUUCGGAGUGGAAAACUAUGUUAUUAGGGAAGAAAAAAUGUGUAAGUAAAUAAGCGGCUUUGACGGGAUCCGAAGAAGAAGCCCAGGCUUACUCUCGG
rnacentral:rRNA from 1 species